rnacentral:rRNA from 1 species
CAGCAGCCGCGGUAAUACGGAGGGUGCGAGCGUUAAUCGGAAUUACUGGGCGUAAAGGGCGCGUAGGCGGAUUGUUUAGUUAGGCGUGAAAUUCCUGGGCUUAACCUGGGGACUGCGCUUAAUACAGGCAGUCUAGAGUGAGGAAGAGGGUUGUGGAAUUCCCAGUGUAGAGGUGAAAUUCGUGGAUAUUGGGAAGAACACCGGUGGCGAAGGCGGCAACCUGGUCCUUGACUGACGCUGAGGCGCGAAAGCGUGGGGAGCAAACAGGAUUAGAUACCCGCGUAGUCCCUGUCUCUUAUAC